rnacentral:lncRNA from 1 species
CCGUGAGCCACUGAGAGGGCCUCUCCUGUCUGCUUCCGAGGAUCCUGGGACACAAACACUGCACGGAGGUGGAGGCUGUGCUCUGCUCAGCUAGGAGGAAGGCGAGGGCUACCGAUGCUCCCCGCCAGCCCAGCCAGCCCGGUGUGUAGCUUCCGGCUUCCCGGAGGGGACGCUGUGGUCUGGGCUGGGACCUGGGAGCCCUGGCCCACCGCCCCCCGGGGCAGCACACAGAUCGAGAAAGAGAGCAGCCUUGGAUCUUCUUCUGCCUCUCCAAGGAAAUCACUACCCUGACCUCUGACCCCUACAGGUUAGUCAUGUCUGGUUUUGGCCUUUAUAGUAGUGGCAUCAUAAAUGUGGACAGCAUCUGGCUCCUUUCAUUCAGCAUAAUGUUUAUGAGUCAUUCAUAUCCUUGUGUAUAGCUGUAAUAUAUUAAUUCACUUGCUUAUUAUAGCCCAUUAUGUGAAUAGGCUGCAAUCUAUUUACUGAUGGACAUCUGGGUUGUUUCCAACUUUUAGCUAUUAGCUGAUAAUGUUGCUUGAGUCUUGCGCAUGCAUUCAGUAUACAUGUGCACAUAUUUCUGUUGGGUAUAAAUCUGCCAGGAGCAGUGUUCUUUCAACUUGAUCAACUGGUAUUUGUGAAUUCUCUGUAAAAAUUCUUCACAUAUUUAUUGUUAAGUGGCUUGCGUUUUCCUGAGUUUUGUUUUUAUUUUUAAGACAGAGUCUCACUGUGUAGUCCAGGCUGGCCUUGAACUCAUGGUGGUCCUCCUGCCUCAGCCUCCUGAGUGCUGGGAUUACAGGCAUAUGCCAGUACGCCUGGCUGUAUUUUACUGUUGAUUUGCGUGGGUUUCACUUACUGUGGGUAUGAAUUCUGUUGUAUUUGCUGGAAAUAUUUCCUCUCCGUCUUUGUUUACAGUGCCU